AAUAUGAGUAGGGCGGACGUAGCCAAGUGGAUUAAGGCAGU
rnacentral:tRNA from 1 species